AACGAACGCUGGCGGCAGGCCUAACACAUGCAAGUCGAGCGGCACCUUCGGGUGUAGCGGCGGACGGGUUAGUAACGCGUGGGAACGUGCCCUUUUCUACGGAAUAGCCUCGGGAAACUGAGAGUAAUACCGUAUACGCCCUUUGGGGGAAAGAUUUAUCGGAGAAGGAUCGGCCCGCGUCUGAUUAGGUAGUUGGUGGGGUAAUGGCCUACCAAGCCUACGAUCAGUAGCUGGUUUUAGAGGAUGAUCAGCAACACUGGGACUGAGACACGGCCCAGACUCCUACGGGAGGCAGCAGUGGGGAAUCUUAGACAAUGGGCGCAAGCCUGAUCUAGCCAUGCCGCGUGAGUGAUGAAGGCCUUAGGGUCGUAAAGCUCUUUCGCCAGAGAUGAUAAUGACAGUAUCUGGUAAAGAAACCCCGGCUAACUCCGUGCCAGCCGCCGCCGUAAAAC
rnacentral:rRNA from 1 species